GCCGUCUGCCCCAUUCGAACGACAAGUUCGACCGAGGGUUUGAAACCCUAACGAAUCGAGGACGUAAAAGAAAUAGCAACCCGUUUGGAUCUGUCAUCUCUGAUCGCGUCGUUCGCCUCGAUGAGCUGCAGUCCUUCCAUCUCAAGGAAGAUCGAACCAGGACAUCUGAUGAUCAGCGGAGAAAGGAUGUUGGAAGAGAGUUAGAAAGGGAUUCUAGUCGUAGCAGGUCCAGUAGAUUCUACAAGUCUCAGAAGAAUUCUGAGAGGCAUCCAUAUGGAUAUUCCCAUGACUACAGAAGACAUGGUGAUUAUAGUAGGCAUGACAGGCAUAUUGAUGACAAUAAUAGAAAUUAUCGGCAGUCAUCAAGGUCUGGUAAAGAACCGAGGAACAAAAAAUGAGAGAACAACUGAUAAAUACCGAGACAGUGAAAGAAAUUUCAGAACAUAAAAAUAAGAACAGUGAAAGAAAUUCUAUGAAAGAUUAUGAUAGAGCUGAUGCUAGAAAUAAACUAGUAGGGUUAGGUAGAGAUUAUGAUUCAGAGGAGGACCAGCAAAGAGAGAGAGAAUCACAAGAUUACGAAAAAGAUUAUCAUAGGAAUCCUGAAAGUCAUAAGAAUGAUAAGGUAGCAUCACAUGAGGAAUUGAGGGGAUAUGACAAAGAUUCAACUGAUGGAAAGGAUACUAGUGCACCUCAACUGAAAAAAGCUGACAGCAAUAAUAAGAUGGAUUUGUAUGGGUGGGAGGAUCUGGUACCAAGAAGGAAAUAUAAUGAAUGGGAAGGUGGUAUGCUCUUCUGAAUGCAAAGAACUUCAGACUGAGAGAAGUUUGUAAAGUCACCAAGGGAUGGAUGGUAAAAAUGCCUCUGUGAUUUGAUAGACAAGCAAAAUUCUUUUUUAAGAGAACCUAAACCUGGUCACUUGGAACAUGGAAAUGCUGUUGAUGAAGUGCCAUCAUCUAGUUCAAAACAGACUAAGGAGACACAUGAGAAAGUAAAUUCUGAGACUAUGAACUCAUCUAUCAAUGAUGCUGAAUCUACUAAUGAUGUUAAUUCAGCAAAAGUUGCUGCUUUGAAAGCUGCGGAAUUAGGUGAGUUUUAGUUUUUUUUAAACAUUAUGCUGAGAAUUAGUAUUUUCUCCACAGUCUAUGUCUUGGUCAUUUUGGUACCAAAGAAAAGGUAGCUUGGUGCUCAAGUCUCUCACCGAUAUGGGGUCUAGGUUUGUCUAUUAAAUUGCUUUCAUGAUCAACUGCCUUUUGUUUUUGUUAUGAAUACCUAUAUAUCCUUGACAUGGAAUGUGGUACUCCUUAAUUUUUAUCUUCUCUGCGUAGCUGCGUAGAUUCCUUUUGGGACAAGACUGUUUUAUGGUUGUUUUGUUUAAAAAAAAAAAGAAAUGUUCUUAUACUGAGGAACACAUCAAGUUUGUGUUAUUGUUCAUUUAAAUCUGUUAUCAAAUUGAAGGAGUCAUGGAAAAUGUACACAAUACUGCCAAUUUUAUAUUGUUACAAAUGAGUGUUUUUUGUAUUGUGUCUUUUGUAAACUUUUAACACUUGGGAGAUCUGUAAUGAAAUUGAUCAAAGUGGGUCUUUAGAUCUUGAACAUACUGUGAAUCUGUGAUGAUCUCAAUCGUAUUGUUUGAAAACUUGAAAGUUGAAAGCAUAGAAACAAUGAAAAAAUCCAUUCUACUUGCUUGUGUAUGGUUCCUCCUUUUGGUGCUCUCUAUUUAUGGAAAUGUACAGCUGGAAAGAGGCAAGCACAAACCAGUUGUUAAGUGCAAAUCUGCUCUGUCCAUCUUCUGUAGUCUAUUAUGAAAGUGCUUCUCUGUCCAUCCUUUUCUCUAUUCUAUUACUGCAGCUCAUGGCUAUCUUAGCUGUUUGUUUACGCUUUUCUUGAGCAAGAAGGGAGAAAGUUGUUUGUCAAGUCAGGAGUAAGGUUAUUGUUUAUUUAAAUCUGUUAUCAAAUUGUAGGAGUCAUGGAAAAUGUACCCAAUACUGCCAAUUUUAUAUGGUUACAAAUGAGUGCUUUUUCUUAUUGUGCCUUUUGUAAACUUUAAGACUUGGGAGACCUGUAGAAAUUGAUCAAAGUGGGUCUUUAGAUCUCGAACGUACUGUGAACUUGUGAUGAUCUCCGUUGUAUUGUGAAAAUGAAAAAAUCCAUUCUACUGGCUUGUGUAUAGCUGAUCUGGAA